ACAGAGGUCUCAAGCGUUGUUCGGAUUCAUUGGGCGUAAAGGGUGCGUAGGUGGCGCUGUAAGUCGGGUGUGAAAUUUCGGAGCUUAACUCCGAAACUGCAUUCGAUACUGCGGUGCUUGAGGACUGGAGAGGAGACUGGAAUUCAUGGUGUAGCAGUGAAAUGCGUAGAGAUCAUGAGGAAGACCAGUGGCGAAGGCGGGUCUCUGGACAGUUCCUGACACUGAGGCACGAAGGCCAGGGGAGCAAACGGGA
rnacentral:rRNA from 1 species